rnacentral:rRNA from 1 species
CACGUAGGCACCAAGCGUUGUCCGGAUUUAUUGGGCGUAAAGAGCUCGUAGGCGGUUCAGUAAGUCGGGUGUGAAAACUUUGGGCUUAACCCAAAGCGUGCAUCUGAUACUGCUGUGACUUGAGUUCGGUAGGGGAGUGGGGAAUUCCUAGUGUAGCGGUGAAAUGUGCAGAUAUUAGGAGGAACACCGGUGGCGAAGGCGCCACUCUGGGCCGAAACUGACGCUGAGGAGCGAAAGCAUGGGUAGCAAACAGG